ACAAGGAGCCAGAUUUCAGACUUGACAUCACUUUGUUUGGAGCUUUCAGAUGGAUUUCCAGGAAACAAGGAGUCAGAUUUCAGACUUAACAUCACUUUGUUUGGAGCUUUCACAUGAACUUCCAGGAAACAAGGAGUCAGAUUUCAGACUUAACGUCACUUUGGAGCUUUCAGAUGGACUUCCAGUCAAGAAUAAACCUCAGGGAGUAAGAUGUCAGGCAUAAUGUCACUUUGUUUGCAGCUUUCAGAUGGAUUUUUCAGGAAACAAUAAACCUCAGGGAGUCAAAUUUCAGACAUAACGUCACCUUGUUUGGAGCUUUCACAUGGAUUUCCAGGAAACAAGGAGUCAAAUUUCAGACUUAACAUCACUUUGUUUGGCGCUUUCAGAUGGAUUUUACAGUAAACAGUAAACCUCGGGGAGUCAAAUUUCAGACAUAAUGUGACCUUGUUUGGAGCUUUCAGAUGGACUUUCAGGAAACAAGGAGUCAGAUUUCAGACUUGACAUCACUUUGUUUGGAGCUUUCAGAUGGUCUUCCAGGAAACAAUAAACCUCAGGGAGUCAGAUUUCAGACUUAACAUCACUUUGUUUGGAGCUUUCAGAUGGAUUUCCAGGAAACAAGGAGUCAGAUUUCAGACUUAACAUCACUUUGUUUUGAGCUUUCACAUGGAUCUCCAGGAAACAAACCUCAGGGAGUCAUAUGUCAGACUUAACAUCACUUGAUUUCCAGAAAGCAAUAACUCAGAGGGAGUUAGAUUUCAG